rnacentral:rRNA from 1 species
UACGUAGGGUGCGAGCGUUAAUCGGAAUUACCGGGCGUAAAGCGUGCGCAGGCGGUUCGUUGUGUCGGUGGUGAAAGCCCCGGGCUUAACCUGGGAAUGGCCAUGGAAACUGGCGAACUGGAGUGUGGCAGAGGGGGGUGGAAUUCCGCGUGUAGCAGUGAAAUGCGUAGAGAUGCGGAGGAACACCGAUGGCGAAGGCAGCCCCCUGGGCUAGCACUGACGCUCAGGCACGAAAGCGUGGGGAGCAAACAGG